UACGGAGGGAGCUAGCGUUGUUCGGAAUUACUGGGCGUAAAGCGCACGUAGGCGGCUUUGUAAGUUAGAGGUGAAAGCCCGGGGCUCAACCCCGGAAUUGCCUUUAAGACUGCAUCGCUUGAAUCCAGGAGAGGUGAGUGGAAUUCCGAGUGUAGAGGUGAAAAUUCGUAGAUAUUCGGAAGAACACCAGUGGCGAAGGCGGCUCACUGGACUGGUAUUGACGCUGAGGUGGACG
rnacentral:rRNA from 1 species